rnacentral:rRNA from 1 species
UACGUAGGGGGCAAGCGUUGUCCGGAAUCAUUGGGCGUAAAGCGCGUGUAGGCGGUUCAGUAAGUCUGCUGUGAAAGUCCAGGGCUCAACCCUGGGAUGCCGGUGGAUACUGCUGGGCUAGAGUACGGAAGAGGCGAGUGGAAUUCCCGGUGUAGCGGUGAAAUGCGUAGAGAUGCGGAGGAACACCGAUGGCGAAGGCAGCCCCCUGGGCCGACAUUGACGCUCAGGCACGAAAGCGUGGGGAGCAAACAGG